UUGUUGUGUUUUAUAGUCCGAGCGCCGCGCCUAUUAGUAGUAUAUCCGAGAUUGGGUUUUAGCUGAGGGGGGAUGGCGAGGUGCCAGUGAGGGCCAGAAGGAAAUACAACCAUCUGAUCCAACACUGACCAAUGGCAGAGGCAGGAAUUGUCAAAUAGCACCCAGGAGGAGCGCAGCCCGCACGAGGGACCCGCGCACAAACCUAUCAACCUUUUUUUUUUUCCUCCUUCUCCUUCGCCUUUCUCCUCUCUCCCCCCAACAACACAACGCGUCCUGUUCCACCUACGUAGGAUCUGUGAAACAGGCUCAGUGCCUUUGAGGGAGGAGGGAACGUUUAGAUUGAGACCACCCCACUCCCGGGUGAUUAAAUAAAUAUGUCUCUCCCCCACCCCACGCAGGAUUGGAAAAAGUUAAUUGUGUUUUCAGAAAAGUUAACCCCUGCGUUGCUUCGACCCCUUCUCUCCGGGGAGGGUUGGGUAAAUGUCUCCGAAUCGCCUUGAGAGAGAACUAAAGAAGGUUUGUUUCUAGGGUUUUGUGUCGGUAGAAGGUGAGAAGAGUUCUCCGCUAAGAUAAGCAAAGAAGAAACACCCUCCUCCCCAGGUUUUGAACAUCGUUUUUCCUGUUUAUCAGAUCUGCUCUGUCUCCUCCAAGCCUCGGCUUAUUGUUCCUGCUUCUCCACAACCCUUCUGGUCUGAGGGGGCAGGCCAGAUCCCACUGCCUAGAAGACCCAGAAGAGGAGGAGCUGGCAGGAGGGACUGAGCCCAAGCUUCCCCUUCUGACUCUGUGGCUAGACUAGGAGCUUCUUGGAAGGCGGCGACGAGGGUGGCUGCCCAAAACAUUCUGCCUGGUUCUAGUAUGCAGCUGCUCACCCUUGGCAGGGGAAGGGGCACUGGGGAAAGGGACUAGCCCUCUCCUCACUUGGUGAUAUGGAGUGAAGGAGUGAGGGGUAUCCCUCAGCCUAGGUGGCUUUAUUUGUCUGAUCCCUAUCCUGCCUGCAACCCUCACUCCAGUACCCUCUACAAUCCCAAAAGACUUAAGAAUAGCCUGGGCUAUAGGAUUUUCAGGAAUCAGGGAUGUCCCAGUAAAUCUGGGCACAAGGAAGAAAUCAUUCUUCUUCCAGUUGUGGGCUUUGAACCCUCCUGAUAGUUGAGGCAGUCAGAGACCACUGGGAAGAAAUGCAUCCUCACUCCUCUUCUAAGUCUCUGUAGGAGCUGCCAGUUCUUUUUAAAAUUAAUUCUUUCCCAAGACUUGGUUUUUGCUUUAGUUUGAUAGGGAGAGAAGGUCGUUUGCGUUCUCUUGGGGACUCAGCAGGCUGCUUCCAGCCAUCAGCCAGCAUCCCCUCUCCCUUCUGUCUGUAUCUCAGCAUCGCUACAAUUCCCUCCCACACCCCGUGUUUGUAUCAUCAGCUUUGCCGCCUUACAAAUUUAGGUGUGUCAGAGAAUGUAUGUCUCUGGCUCUUUCAUCCAAGGAAAAUAAGCAUUGAGCCCAGGCUGGGAGACAGGGCCACAGUGCAUUCCCAACAUUCUAAUAUACAUACACAGGCCAAGUAGUGAAGGGUGACAACCUUCACACCUGGGGACAAGAAGGGGCCAGGGCAUGGAACAAAGUCAGAUGUCAGGCCAGGCUGACCCUCCUCUGCCUUGUCCUUCCUUUGGGCUCCUUUUUCUGGCCAAGUUCUGCCCACUGAAGAUGGUACAAGACACUAGGGAAGGUGGCAGGGGACUGAGCUUGGAUCACCAAGGGUGGGAACUUAUUUGGUUGCAACGUGGUCUCCAAGGCUCUCUAAACUCAGGGCAACUUCUUGGCUGUACCUUAAUGGCAAAAUAGCCAUCCCUAGAUGGCCUCCAAUUACUUCCUAACCUGACUCUGUGGGAGUGUUUGAUAAGCAUUUAAGAAAACAAAUUUAAACCCCCUGAUAAUGAAGAAGGAUAAAUAUUCCAUAUCUAGGUAUGGCUGGGCUUGCUUCUAGAGAGGACUAGGGGCCAUUUGAACAGGGGGAGAAAAGUGGGAGAGAGUACCUGCAUGCACCUCCCUGCCUACUGCUGAGGCUGAGCCCUGGGCCUCAGCCUUCCCUGCCUCCUCCCUGCCCACAAUGUCUCCAUCCUAGCACUAAAUAGUGUGGUUUUCUCAGUGAAGUCUGAACAAAAUAAGAUCUGGUGAGGAAGGGAGCAUUUCCCUGUGUCAGAAGCAGGGAAAUAAUUGCCUUAUCUUUAGAGUCACAGCCCCCAAAUUAACCUCACCUCUGCAGGUUGCUUGUCUGGAGAUGGAGCCACUACAGGCGGGCCUGGGCGCCUGGAGUCGGGCAUGAAAGAAAAUAGCGCCUCAUCGCUCUUAUCUAAGCCCAGAGGUAGACUUCGCUUGAAAAGAUCGAGAAUGGAGGAGGGGAUCGGCACUCACUUGCAGACAUCAACAGUUUCCAGAAAAUUCGGUUCAAUUCCUUCACCACGGACCCACCAACCAAGGAGCUGGCAAAACCCACUAACCAACCAGGAGAACACAGACCCGGUUUGUCUUUUGACAACCGAGUGGAACUGACGGGGCCGGCGCCUGCCCUGCGGGUCCCCUCCCUUGGCUGAGAAGAAAACCAAAUAAACCUUGAACAGCCUUGGCUUCGGAUGUCUCAAGCGGCCUCAUCCUCUCCCGCGCCUUGGUGGGGUGGGGGUGGGGAUGGCGGUGGGGGUGUCGGCUCUGAUCCCUCCACCCUUUGAUUCAGGGCCCCUGCCCGCUGGAAGCAGAAUUAGACCUUUUUAUAUAUGCCCUAGAGGAAGCCGCUUCCCUUGCCAGCCGCCAGGUUUGGGGCUAGGAUGGGCGGGGACGGGGGCAGUGGGAAAUUGGGGAUGAUGGGUGGAGGAGAGACUUCUGUUCUCUAACUCACACCGGGGAACCAAGAUCUAGCUGAGAGCGUCGGUGUGGGCCCGAAAUCCCCCGAAUCCCGUGGACCCUGCGAGGCCGGGGCUCCAGGCGUCGGGCACCUCUGGACAGUGUCGCGGGGCUUGCGGCGCCGAAGCCGCGUGUCUCCGAACGGACGGUAGAUGGCAGCAGACCGCAUAAUUUGGGUCACAGCGAACUGUCUAAGGGAGGAUUUAUAACCCUCCAAGACUACAGGAGAAAAAGACCUUUAGUAUGGGUGGGUUUGGGAAAUUUUUCCCUUGAGAAUAGUCCCCGAGUGCCGUGGGUGCUGGCGGAGAACUCUAGCUACGAAGCCCAGCGGUCCCUCCAGGCGCCCAGGCCGGGCCUGAACCUAGGGCAUCUACCUGGGGCCACAGAGCCGCCUCUUCCGCGCCACAAGUGGCAGCGUCGUCCCUCUCCUAGCUUAGGACUGAGAUAAUAAAUAUAUCCCCACUUCCAAAACGCCCCAGACCCUGUAACUCCGGGGCAACCAGAGGCCCGAGGCUGAAUGUCCUGCAUCUGGUCUUAAGAAAGAGAAAAGCAAUCACAUGUUCGUGCAAACCAGACUAAAAAUCACAAUUUCUCCUGCCCUCCACAGCCAACAUCACUUAUCUCUUGGCUGGAAGCUUCCCCAGAAGCUCCCUUACCCCAUUUUUAAGUCCUUGCCUCAAGGCUGGCACCUACUUCCACCCCACGAGCUACUUUAGGAAUCUCUGUCACCUGCCCAAUGUUCUCCGCCCUCCCCACCCCCUAGAAGGCCUGACUGAGGGAUAAAAUUGGACACCCGAGGGACGGGACUGUCUGAGCUCAGUGCCAGUUAGCUUUUCAGUUUAGACGCCGCUAGGUCCCAUAAUUGGAUUUUCUUUUUAUUUUCUUCUUUCAUUUCUUUCUCUUUUAUUUUUAUUUACAAGCCUAAAACAAAAAGGCACUUAACAGCUUCUUCACAAUCACCAUGUCUGGACCCAGGAAAGUUUGAAAUGUUAUCAUAUCAGACACACACAUGGCAAUUUUUUCCUCCACCGAAAUCCACACAUCCCAUACCAAUACAACGCAAGUAAUAGAAUCAGUAUCACGCAGAAACCAACAGCUGUAACCUACCGCAUUAAAACCACAAAACUGUCUCCCUGUAGAGCGAGGCUCCCUCCUGCGGGAGUGGCGAGAUACUUGGGCAUUCUCGGGCAGGCUUCCUGCCGUUUCCUCUCCCUCGCCGGCCUCGGCGGAGAUUCCAGGCCCUAUAGAAACCAGGACGUCCCUUAGCGCCACCGCCUCACAUGCCAGUGCUGCCGGGAACCCAGCGAUAUCCGCACCAGCGGAGAAGGUUCCAGGCUGCCGGCGGCGGCGCAGAGAGCGGGAAGAGAGGCUCGGAGGAAGCCCCGGGCGUGGCGUGGUCAGGCUCCGAGAGCGGCCGGGAUGCGGCCACACCGGCCUGGUAAACUCGCACCUCUUAGGAUCUUGCUCCCGGACUCAUUCCCUUCCCCACCCCCUAUUUUAAAGUUUUAUUUGGGUCGUCUGUAUCAAUUUAGAACGAGAUAAAUUAAGACAAAGAAAGUAAAAUAAAUCGAAAUAAAAUAUAGGAAUAGCUCUUGGCGAAAAUGUUUGCCGUGCGAGCAGGAAGCCGUGAGCGCCCUAGUUGGAGGCUGCUCUGCGCCGACUAAGAGGCCUCUACUCCCAGGCCUGGCCUCUACGCAACGCCACCCAAGAAGCCAGAGUGAAUUUGGGUGUUCAUUUUCCCUUUCCUUCCGCUCUUCCUUCAUGUGGGGCCUAGCAGCUUGGAUUUCAGCUCCGUCUUUGUGCCUGGGCUGCAGCCCAGAUCCAGAUCCCGCAGCUUGGUUUCCAGGCCUGAAUGAGGACGCGGGUUUGUGAAACUGUGAGGUUUUUGUUUUGUUGUUUUGUGAGCUUGUGUGACUAAGCAUGUGGGCUUCUGAGUGCGUUUACUUGGGGGCAAAUGUGAAUCUGUGUUUAUAAGCCAAUGUGUGAAUGUACGUUGGUAUCAAUGUGUCUGUGAGUGUGAAUGUGUGUUUACUUGUGAGCGUGUGUGAACAUGAAUGCCUA
rnacentral:lncRNA from 1 species